rnacentral:rRNA from 1 species
UACGGAGGUCUCAAGCGUUGUUCGGAUUCAUUGGGCGUAAAGGGUGCGUAGGCGGCGCGGUAAGUCGGGUGUGAAAUCUCGGAGCUUAACUCCGAAACUGCAUUCGAUACUGCCGUGCUUGAGGACUGGAGAGGAGACUGGAAUUUACGGUGUAGCGGUGAAAUGCGUAGAUAUCGUAAGGAAGACCAGUGGCGAAGGCGGGUCUCGUGGACAGUUCCUGACGCUGAGGCACGGAAGGCCCAGGGGGAGCAAACGGG